AGAAGGCAAGGAAUACCAAUAUAUAGCAUGCCUUGUUGACUAUGACAGCAACUGUAAACAGCGAUAUAAUAUCAAGAUCCGACAAUGUGGUGUGGAAAUUCAGUAUUACUUACUUCCUACUGAUGGAAUAAGUGCCUAUUGUUUCGAACCAUCCUCUGUCACAGUUGUGGCCCCUGCACCAAUUAUAGAAUUGGCGGUCCUAUCCAGGUGAGCGUGGCAUUGAUGUAUAACCGUGCAAGCAAACGCUCCGAGCCAGAAUUGGAAUUUAAAUGUAACUUCGGAUCGGCAAAAAAUGAGUACUUCUACGGAGUGAACUGGGUUAUAAAUGGACGAAUUGAAAAGACAUUUACACCAGUGAAACUUAAAGAUGUAGACAACACCAAUUUGAAUGAAACUAUACUACGAUCACUAGGGUUUUCAUUUGGAUUAUCG